UGAGACAGGUGCUGCAUGGCUGUCGUCAGCUCGUGUUGUGAAAUGUUGGGUUAAGUCCCGCAACGAGCGCAACCCUUAUCCUUUGUUGCCAGCGGUCCGGCCGGGAACUCAAAGGAGACUGCCAGUGAUAAAUUGGAGGAAGGUGGGGAUGACGUCAAGUCAUCAUGGCCCUUACGACCAGGGCUACACACGUGCUACAAUGGCGCAUACAAAGAGAAGCGACCUCGCGAGAGCAAGCGGACCUCAUAAAGUGCGUCGUAGUCCGGAUUGGAGUCUGCAACUCGACUCCAUGAAGUCGGAAUCGCUAGUAAUCGUGGAUCAGAAUGCCACGGUGAAUACGUUCCCGGGCCUUGUACACACCGCCCGUCACACCAUGGGAGUGGGUUGCAAAAGAAGUAGGUAGCUUAACCUUCGGGAGGGCGCUUACCACUUUGUGAUUCAUGACUGGGGUGAAGUCGUAACAAGGUAACCGUAGGGGAACCUGCGGUUGGAUCACCUCCUUACCUUAAAGAAGC
rnacentral:rRNA from 1 species